AGAGUUUGAUCCUGGCUCAGGAUGAACGCUGGCGGCGUGCCUAAUGCAUGCAAGUCGAGCGACGCAUGCCGGAGGGGUAACCCACUGGCAUGACGGAGCGGCGAACGGGUGAGUAACACGUGAGCAACCUGCCCCACAGAUCGGGAUAGCCCAGGGAAACCUGGAUUAAUACCGGAUACCCUCCUAGGACCGCAUGGUCUCUGGAGGAAAUGCCUUUGUGCUGUGGGUUGGGCUCGCGGCUUAUCAGCUAGUUGGUGGGGUAACGGCCUACCAAGGCAUCGACGAGUAGCUGGUCUGAGAGGACGAUCAGCCACACUGGGACUGAGACACGGCCCAGACUCCUACGGGAGGCAGCAGCAGGGAAUCUUGCGCAAUGGGCGAAAGCCUGACGCAGCAACGCCGCGUGGGGGAUGACGGCCUUCGGGUUGUAAACCCCUUUCAGGAGGGAAGAAAUUGACGGUACCUCCAGAAGAAGCACCGGCCAACUACGUGCCAGCAGCCGCGGUAAUACGUAGGGUGCGAGCGUUAUCCGGAAUCAUUGGGCGUAAAGAGCUCGUAGGCGGUUCAGCAAGUCGGCUGUGAAAGUCCGAGGCUCAACCUCGGAACUGCAGUCGAUACUGCUGUGUCUCGAGUCCGGUAGAGGAGAAUGGAAUUCCCGGUGUAGCGGUGAAUGCGCAGAUAUCGGGAGGAACACCAGUAG
rnacentral:rRNA from 1 species